UGAAGGGGCAGAUCCUUAAACCACCCUAGGGUUCCUCCUUGAGGGCGGUUCCCUAAACCGCACUAGGGCAAAUAUUAUAUGCGACUCUGUUUUGGGAUUGGGGAUGCCGAAAGUUUUGUUUGCCUUUGUGCACGCUGGGACUGGGUCUCUGAGACGGAAACCUCAGAGGUAAGGGAGGUGGGACGAUACCCCCACUUACUCUUCUUCCACUUUAGGUUACAAUCGUCAACAGAUUCCUUUUGUUGUGUAUUGAAAUCGUCAUCAACAGAGCAAGAAGGGCAAUAGGAGGAAAGGAAGGCCAUAGAGCAGCCCUCAGCUACAGCACAUUUGAAUCAGAUCAGUUCACAUCUCACAGGCUCAGAUUAUAGUUAAGGUUAUGCACUUUUUAACAGUGCCCCUCUAAGGCAUCAAGCUCUAUAUUGAGCUCUAUAAAAGCUAUAACAGAUGAAUUACCAACUCCAGACUAAACGAACUAGAGGAGAUCAAUGACAAAUAGGCCAGCAAUGGGGUGAUGUGUGAUAUGGUCACAAGAGUCUCCAGAUGUUUCUGCACUGAAAAAAACAAAAAAACCCUAAAACACGUCUGUUUUAGAGGCGGAAAAACAUGGGUUUGGGAAGAAAAACGCAUUUCCAGCCACUGACAAAGCUGCGCGAACAGAUUUUGCAGGGUUUUUUGACACCGCGAUGCGAUUUCGACCCCUUUUUCUGCCACACAAAGGGAUUUUGAAGGUUUCAUACUAUUGAAAGAUUUUUUGGCACGACUUGGGUUGUUGCAGAAUCGCAAAUCAAAGAAAAGAAUUUGAAAGAUUCAAAAUGUCAGGAGGAGCAAAAUUGUAUCCACUAUGGAAGUAUGUUGACCACAUUCCGGGGCUGAAAGGAUCAGGUGGAACAGCCACCAUCAAAUGUAAACUUUGUCCAUUGGCAUGGAAAGGUACCUACAUGAGGAUGAGGGUUCAUUUCCUUCACCUACCAUGUAAUGGUAUUGAAGGUUGUACAAAUGAGUCAGAACGAUAUGAUGCUGUGAGGGAACAAGAAAGGAAUGAUGGGAAAGUUGCUAUUCAAAGCUUUCACGCUUCAACAAUAGGGGCAACUAUUGCAGCUCACAGUCAUAAUAUAGAGUCAAAGGUGGAUGCAAAUUCUAGAGAUGUAACAACUGAACAAGCUUGCAAAAGACCACACAUUGGCAGCUCAAACCCCAUUGGAAGAUUGUUUGAUGUGUAAGGUUGAGAAGCAGUUGAUGCAAUGAUUGGAUGAUUCUUUUAUGCUAUGUCAUAGGAUUUGCUAAAUUUUCGGCUUCAAGUUCGAAAUUUGGCGAACUUAUAAAAUAUGCAUGAAAUUCAUUAAAAUUCGGCCAAAAAUUCAUACAAAAUAGGGCUCCUUUAGUAUUAUUAAUACUAAAAUUCACAGAGCAUUGUUUAGGAGUUUUUAUUUCUUGUUUUUUGUUAUUAAUAACGCUACAACCUCAUGAAAUGUAGUGUCUAUUGAAAACGGAUUUUUUUAGUUUUCAUAGCUAGGGCACAAUGAAUUUCUUCUGUGCGUGAUAGAAUACUAAGGUUUGAAGGCACAAGCUUGUAUUUCAUGAUGGGAAGACGGUAAAACUUGUUGAAGAGGGCAAUAAAAUUGUAUUCAGCGUUCUUUUUCUGCCAUGGGAUGAAA